rnacentral:rRNA from 1 species
AGUGAACGCUGGCGGUAGGCCUAACACAUGCAAGUCGAACGGCAGCACAGUAAGAGCUUGCUCUUACGGGUGGCGAGUGGCGGACGGGUGAGGAAUACAUCGGAAUCUACUUUUUCGUGGGGGAUAACGUAGGGAAACUUACGCUAAUACCGCAUACGACCUACGGGUGAAAGCAGGGGAUCUUCGGACCUUGCGCGAUUGAAUGAGCCGAUGUCGGAUUAGCUAGUUGGCGGGGUAAAGGCCCACCAAGGCGACGAUCCGUAGCUGGUCUGAGAGGAUGAUCAGCCACACUGGAACUGAGACACGGUCCAGACUCCUACGGGAGGCAGCAGUGGGGAAUAUUGGACAAUGGGCGCAAGCCUGAUCCAGCCAUACCGCGUGGGUGAAGAAGGACUUCGGGUUGUAAAGCCCUUUUGUUGGGAAAGAAAAGCAGCAGGUUAAUACCCCGCUGUUCUGACGGUACCAAAAGAAUAAGCACCGGCUAACUUCGUG